rnacentral:lncRNA from 10 species
ACUUCCGGUUUCCUUUCCCUCAGCUAUUCCAUGGCUUUUCGUGUGGACAAAUCGGGAGGUGGUGUAAACUGGUUUUUGGUGAAAUUCGGCUCGGCCUCAUGCGAACCUAUCUAGGUCCGUCUCUGGAGUGGCCUGUCAUCGAUCGCGCCCUCCAUCGCUGAGCGACACAAGUGGAACCCCCCAGGACUGCAUUCUGCGAAACUACCCUGCUUUUCCCCCAGUUUUGGUCUGUGAACACAUUUGGGAAAUUCUUCUGAUCCUACCGCUACUCUCUUGAGAGAGAGAAACAAGGGAAAAAAAAGUUAAUUGCCUGAGGAUAUACUGCUAGUGUUGCGGGACAAAUAGAGACGGGAGAGGCCAAACAGAAUUCAGGACAACCCUUUAUUAUUAAGGUGAUCACUGGCUCAGUCGGACUGGGGUCCAGAAAGUCUGAGCCCGGAACAAAGGGAUCAAUCACCUUUUAAGCAAUUUGUGGCGGGAGUUUGGUGCUACAGGAAGCCUACUUGCAGAAGCAAGAACAAAGGCAGUUAAUUAUUCUUUUACAUUU